rnacentral:rRNA from 1 species
UACGUAGGGUGCGAGCGUUAAUCGGAAUUACUGGGCGUAAAGCGUGCGCAGGCGGCUUGCCAAGUCAGAUGUGAAAGCCCCGGGCUCAACCCGGGAAUUGCGCUUGAGACUGGUGUGCUCGAGUACGGGAGAGGAUAGUGGAAUUCCCAGUGUAGAGGUGAAAUUCGUAGAUAUUGGGAAGAACACCGGUGGCGAAGGCGGCUAUCUGGACCGUAACUGACGCUGAGGCGCGAAAGCGUGGGGAGCAAACAGG